CCCUGAAAGCACUUGUGAACACCUGAGGAUCAUCUCCAGCAAAAGAGAUCAUCACUGGGACUUCGAAGGUUUUGCUAAAUAAAGCUGACGUUUUUGAGGCCAUCCAAGAAACCAACACACAGCAGCCUGGAUUUCCACCCGACAUCCUACAUGA